ACGUUAGGACUCCUCCCCAUUGUUCCCACCUGGAAUACUUGCUAUAUGCAACCCAUCUGGUCAGAUACCCAGAGGUCUGAACGAUUACGCUAGUGCCGCUCGGUGCUUACGAGACGCGGCCAGCCGGCCUCCGCUGCAGCAUACCGGUCACAACAUCUGAAUUGACCCGGCAGGUCUCUGUGAGGUGAUACAGUCCUGGCUCAGCUCCCCCUCGCUGCAGGACGAGUUUGUUGGUGAGAGCACUACGAGGGGAUCACCUCAGCCAGCGCAGUCUGGUGCUAACUACCUGCACGUUUUGGCCUGUCAUCAACCAAGGGUCAGCGGUCUCUACAUUGCCAAUUAAUCCAGCAGCCGCAUGAGUGGCAACCAAAAGAAACGGCACACUACUACCAUAAAUGUCGCACAUGAGGCUGCUGGUGCUGCAAGUUCAUCCCGCCAUCACCCGACUGCGCAAAUACACACAAGCCACGCAUAAACACGUGGUACAUAAAAGACACCGUCCAGAUCUGCUGACACCAGAAGCUGCAUCUCCCCCAAUGUGACGCAUCUCUAUGGUCUCAUCAAGGCCACCGUCCGAUUUGUUGGCACCUUCACCAACACGU